ACUACGGGAGGCAGCAGUGGGGGAUAUUGCACAAUGGGGGAAACCCUGAUGCAGCGACGCCGCGUGGGUGAAGAAGCGCCUCGGCGCGUAAAGCCCUGUCAGCAGGGAAGAAAAUGACGGUACCUGAAGAAGAAGCCCCGGCUAACUACGUGCCAGCAGCCGCGGUAAUACGUGGGGGGCAAGCGUUAACCGGAUUUACUGGGGGUAAAGGGGGAGCAGGCGGCGAUGCAAGCCAGGAGUGAACGCCCGGGGCCCACCCCCGGGACUGCUCCGGGAACUGCGUGGCGAGAGUGCAGGAGGGGCAGGCGGAAUUCCUGGUGUAGCGGUGAAAUGCGUAGAUAUCAGGAGGAACACCGGUGGCGAAGGCGGCCUGCUGGACUGCAACUGACGUUGAGGCCCGAAAGCGUGGGGAGCAAACAGGAUUAGAUACCCGGGUAGUC
rnacentral:rRNA from 1 species